GAACGCUGAAGAGAGGAGCUUGCUCUUCUUGGAUGAGUUGCGAACGGGUGAGUAACGCGUAGGUAACCUGCCUGGUAGCGGGGGAUAACUAUUGGAAACGAUAGCUAAUACCGCAUAAAAUUGAUUAUUGCAUGAUAAUUGAUUGAAAGAUGCAAUUGCAUCACUACCAGAUGGACCUGCGUUGUAUUAGCUAGUUGGUGAGGUAACGGCUCACCAAGGCGACGAUACAUAGCCGACCUGAGAGGGUGAUCGGCCACACUGGGACUGAGACACGGCCCAGACUCCUACGGGAGGCAGCAGUAGGGAAUCUUCGGCAAUGGACGAAAGUCUGACCGAGCAACGCCGCGUGAGUGAAGAAGGUUUUCGGAUCGUAAAGCUCUGUUGUAAGUCAAGAAACGUGUGUAGAAUGGAAAGUUCACACAGUGACGGUAGCUUACCAGAAAGGGACGGCUAACUACGUGCCAGCAGCCGCGGUAAUACGUAGGUCCCGAGCGUUGUCCGGAUUUAUUGGGCGUAAAGGGAGCGCAGGCGGUCAGGAAAGUCUGGAGUAAAAGGCUAUGGCUCAACCAUAGUGUGCUCUGGAAACUGUCUGACUUGAGUGCAGAAGGGGAGAGUGGAAUUCCAUGUGUAGCGGUGAAAUGCGUAGAUAUAUGGAGGAACACCAGUGGCGAAAGCGGCUCUCUGGUCUGUCACUGACGCUGAGGCUCGAAAGCGUGGGUAGCGAACAGGAUUAGAUACCCUGGUAGUCCACGCCGUAAACGAUGAGUGCUAGGUGUUAGGCCCUUUCCGGGGCUUAGUGCC
rnacentral:rRNA from 1 species